rnacentral:rRNA from 1 species
GAUGAACGCUGGCGGCGUGCUUAACACAUGCAAGUCGAACGAUGAAGCCCAGCUUGCUGGGUGGAUUAGUGGCGAACGGGUGAGUAACACGUGAGUAACCUGCCCUUGACUCUGGGAUAAGCCUGGGAAACUGGGUCUAAUACUGGAUAUGACUUCUCAUCGCAUGGUGGGGGGUGGAAAGAUUUAUUGGUCUUGGAUGGACUCGCGGCCUAUCAGCUUGUUGGUGAGGUAAUGGCUCACCAAGGCGACGACGGGUAGCCGGCCUGAGAGGGUGACCGGCCACACUGGGACUGAGACACGGCCCAGACUCCUACGGGAGGCAGCAGUGGGGAAUAUUGCACAAUGGGCGCAAGCCUGAUGCAGCGACGCCGCGCGAGGGAUGACGGCCUUCGGGUUGUAAACCUCUUUCAGUAGGGAAGAAGCGAGAGUGACGGUACCUGCAGAAGAAGCGCCGGCUAACUACGUG